AUGUACAUUCUUAUAUCAUAGCGUUAAUGCACCAGAUACCAUUAGAAAUCCGCAGUUAAGCACGCUCAAGCUAGAGUAGUAUUGGGAUGGGUGACCGCCUAGGAAGUCCUAGUGUUUUACAUG
rfam:Picea glauca, whole genome shotgun sequence.